AUAUAUAUAUUUUUUACUCCACCUAGCGUCAUAUCGCGAUGCUGCAAGUUCGGCAACGCCCACUCACUUUUCCCGCUCUUUAGCGUCGCAUCAGCGAACAGACGAGCGAGCGAGCGUUUGUUGCGACGGCGCAGCAGCGCACGCUACCGGAUAAGACGACCCGAAUCGGAAGCGCGCUCGUUUCGCUCGAAGGGCUUACAAUAGCAACCGUAGCAUUGAAACGCAAAUAACUGCGUGACGACGACGGCGCUCGAUCCUACAGCAUUGCUUAAGACUGAGCGCAUUUCCAGCGUGGUGGCUUCCCUGCGAAAAGAAGCUUUUCUUUGCGGCGAGCAAGCCUGUGCACCAGGACACGGAAGGAGUGCGGAGGCGGUCUGUCGAGGCAGUUGUUGCUUUACGUGCGUGGUCAGCCGGCGCAACGUGGAGGACUUCGCGCGCUCGUGGCUCUCGUGGCUUCAGUGCCAGUGGCUGCCCGAGGAACAUGACCCCUUCUGCUCGGCGGCCUCGACGUGCGCCCUGGCGCUGGCGUUGUCCGACGGGCGGCCGCGCACGACGCUCCUCGCGCUCACGUUGGAGCUGGACUUCUCCAGAGAGCCCGUGCUCCACAAGCGGAUGCCUGUGUACGACUGCGAAGCCUGAACGACUACUCUCCGCUGCCUCUCUCGUUGCUGGAACCGAGUGGGAAAGCUGCCGAAGUUCGACUCUGCUGCCCGGAAUCCUCAAAAUCGGAGGCAGGGCACCAACUUCCCGUUACAGCGGCGAACGGAGCAGGCAUUCCACAAUGUGUCCUUUUCGCUGGGAUAACCCUAUGCCACGAUCAUAAAAAAAUUUUCCCAUACUAAGAGAACGAAAACAUUGGGAACGGAGACGCGGAUCUCUGUUUACUUGUCUUAUGUAGCAGUGUACGCAGCGCUUUCACCGCUCCAUCGCAGUUAACCUCACCCAUACAGGUCGAGAAGAUGUUGCGUUCAGUCGUGACACCGCAAGGUAUCCACAGUCUUUUGUCUCACCUGUAUCAGGCUUGCUCUCGCUGAUACAGGCGAUCUCGCAAGCUCUUGCGGAACUCGGCUAUCGGUUAUCAGGCAGCAACUUAACACUGCAGCAGGCCCAGCAUGUUUUCUGCGGUGUACCGCGCUUGUAGCCGAAAUCACGCCCAGCAUUUCUUUUUUUUUUUUUUACUUUGGUGGAAAUGUAUUUCGAGAGGGCGCUCUAAGAAUAUGCAAAGCGUAUUGUGUAAUACAAAGAACAUUGCCCAGCUAACAAGACACUGAACAGAGGCGCUAAGCUUAACUUCUAUAAUACACUUCUGGAUGGAAGGCUUGUUAGUAGAAAAAAUAAUUGCGACGCGACAAGUUUCGUCAUUUUCUAGAAGUUUCGUGUCGUCGCUUCUAUAAAUGUAAUAAAAUACUUGAGUAAUUGUC